rnacentral:rRNA from 1 species
UACGGAGGGUGCUAGCGUUGUUCGAAAUUACUGGGCGUAAAGCGCACGUAGGCGGCUUUGUAAGUUAGAGGUGAAAGCCCGGGGCUCAACUCCGGAAUUGCCUUUAAGACUGCAUCGCUAGAAUUGUGGAGAGGUAAGUGGAAUUCCGAGUGUAGAGGUGAAAUUCGUAGAUAUUCGGAAGAACACCAGUGGCGAAGGCGACUUACUGGACACAUAUUGACGCUGAGGUGCGAAAGCGUGGGGAGCAAACAGG